AGAGUUUGAUCCUGGCUCAGAACGUACGCUGGCGGCACGCCUAACACAUGCAAGUCGAACGAAGUAGUAAUACUUAGUGGCAGACGGGUGAGUAACAUGUGGGUAUCUGCCCUUUGGCCUGGAAUAACACGAGGAAACUUGUGCUAAUACCGGAUAAGUCUUUACGGAGAAAGCUUUAUGCACCAUUGGAUGAGCCCGCACUUGAUUAGUUUGUUGGUAGGGUAAUGGCCUACCAAGACUGUGAUCAAUAGCUGAUUUGAGAGGAUGAUCAGCCACAUUGGGACUGAGACACGGCCCAAACUCCUACGGGAGGCAGCAGUGGGGAAUCUUGCACAAUGGAGGAAACUCUGAUGCAGCGAUGCCGCGUGAGUGAAGAAGGCCUUUGGGUUGUAAAGCUCUUUCGUCGGGGAAGAAAAUGACUGUACCCGAAUAAGAAGGUCCGGCUAACUUCGUGCCAGCAGCCGCGGUAAUACGAAGGGACCUAGCGUAGUUCGGAAUUACUGGGCUUAAAGAGUUCGUAGGUGGUUGAAAAAGUUGGUGGUGAAAUCCCAGAGCUUAACUCUGGAACUGCCAUCAAAACUUUUCAGCUAGAGUUUGAUAGAGGAAAGCAGAAUUUCUAGUGUAGAGGUGAAAUUCGUAGAUAUUAGAAAGAAUACCAAUUGCGAAGGCAGCUUUCUGGAUCAUUACUGACACUGAGGAACGAAAGCAUGGGUAGCGAAGAGGAUUAGAUACCCUCGUAGUCCAUGCCGUAAACGAUGUGUGUUAGACGUUGGAAAUUUAUUUUCAGUGUCGCAGCGAAAGCGAUAAACACACCGCCUGGGGAGUACGACCGCAAGGUUAAAACUCAAAUGAAUUGACGGGGACCCGCACAAGUAGUGGAGCAUGUGGUUUAAUUCGAAGAUACGCGCAGAACCUUACCAACACUUGACAUGUUCGUCGCGACUUUAAGAGAUUAAAGUUUUCGGUUCGGCCGGACGAAACACAGGUGCUGCAUGGCUGUCGUCAGCUCGUGUCGUGAGAUGUUGGGUUAAGUCCCGCAACGAGCGCAACCCUCACUUUUAGUUGCCAUCAUUUAGUUGGGCACUCUGAAAGAACUGCCAGUGAUAAGCUGGAGGAAGGUGGGGAUGACGUCAAGUCCUCAUGGCCCUUACGUGUUGGGCUACACACGUGCUACAAUGGUAUCUACAACAGGAAGCAAAACAGCGAUGUUAAGCGAAUCCUUAAAAGAUACCUCAGCUCGGAUUGCACUCUGCAACUCGAGUGCAUGAAGCUGGAAUUACUAGUAAUCGUGGAUCAGCGUGCCACGGUGAAUGCGUUCCCGGGUCUUGUACACACCGCCCGUCACACCAUGGGAGUUGGUUCUACCUUAAGGCAAGGUUUAAUACCCUUGACCACGGUAUAGUCAGCGACUGGGGUGAAGUCGUAACAAGGUAGCCGUAGGGGAACCUGCGGCUGGAUCACCUCCUU
rnacentral:rRNA from 1 species